rnacentral:rRNA from 1 species
CCUACGGGUGGCAGCAGUGAGGAAUAUUGGUCAAUGGACGAGAGUCUGAACCAGCCAAGUAGCGUGAAGGAUGACUGCCCUAUGGGUUGUAAACUUCUUUUAUAAAGGAAUAAAACGAGGCACGUGUGCCUUUUUGUAUGUACUUUAUGAAUAAGGAUCGGCUAACUCCGUGCCAGCAGCCGCGGUAAUACGGAGGAUCCGAGCGUUAUCCGGAUUUAUUGGGUUUAAAGGGAGCGUAGAUGGGUUGUUAAGUCAGUUGUGAAAGUUUGCGGCUCAACCGUAAAAUUGCAAUUGAUACUGGCAGUCUUGAGUACAGUUGAGGUAAGCGGAAUUCGUGGUGUAGCGGUGAAAUGCUUAGAUAUCACGAAGAACCACGAUUGCGAAGGCAGCUUACUAAACUGUGACUGACAUUGAUGCUCGAAAGUGUGGGUAUCAAACAGGAUUAGAUACCCCGGUAGUC